AGUGAACGCUGGCGGUAGGCCUAACACAUGCAAGUCGAACGGCAGCACAGUAAGAGCUUGCUCUUACGGGUGGCGAGUGGCGGACGGGUGAGGAAUACAUCGGACUCUACUUUUUCGUGGGGGAUAACGUAGGGAAACUUACGCUAAUACCGCAUACGACCUACGGGUGAAAGCAGGGGAUCUUCGGACCUUGCGCGAUUGAAUGAGCCGAUGUCGGAUUAGCUAGUUGGGGGGGUAAAGGCCCACCAAGGCGGCGAUCCGUAGCUGGUCUGAGAGGAUGAUCAGCCACACUGGAACUGAGACACGGUCCAGACUCCUACGGGAGGCAGCAGUGGGGAAUAUUGGACAAUGGGCGCAAGCCUGAUCCAGCCAUACCGCGUGGGUGAAGAAGGCGUUCGGUUUGUAAAGCCCUUUUGUUGGGAAAGAAAAGCAGCAGGUUAAUACCCCGCUGUUCUGACGGUACCCAAAGAAUAAGCACCGGCUAACUUCGUG
rnacentral:rRNA from 1 species